CCUACGGGGGUCAGCAGUGGGGAAUAUUGGACAAUGGGGGGAACCCUGAUCCAGCGACGCCGCGUGAGUGAAGAAGUAUUUCGGUAUGUAAAGCUCUAUCAGCAGGGAAGAAAAUGUCGGUACCUGACUAAGAAGCCCCGUCUAACUACGUGCCAGCAGCCGCGGUAAGACGUAGGGGGCAAGCGUUAUCCGGAUUUACUGGGCGUAAAGGGAGCGUAGACGGUGCAGCAAGUCUGCUGUGAAAGGUCGGGGCCCAACCCCGGGACUGCAUUGGAAACUGUUGAACUGGAGUGCAGGAGAGGUAAGCGGAAUUCCUGGUGUAGCGGUGAAAUGCGUAGAUAUUAGGAGGAACCCCAGUGGCGAAGGCGGCUUACUGGACUAUAACUGACGUUGAGGCUCGAAAGCGUGGGGAGCAAACAGGAUUAGAUACCCUAGUAGUC
rnacentral:rRNA from 1 species